rnacentral:lncRNA from 10 species
CUGGUGCAAGAAGGGACCUAUUCCAUCUGCAAGUGAAACUCACUCACUUCCUUUCUCCAGAAAGAAAACUGAAGCCUGGAGAGGUAAAGAGACUUACCUAAGGCCAGUUGGCAAAAGACUCUUAACCUCCUGACCUCCAACUCCACUCCCUACUGGGUAAGUGUCUCUUAGCAUCUUGAAUUUCAUUUUUCUUAUUAGUAAAAUGAGUUAUUGAUAGAAAUGAAAAAUGUAACAUAGAUAAGGUGCUAAAAAUAGUAGCUAUUUUCAUUUUUGGAUUUUUUCUAAUCGUUGUAUAGUGUGCCUCUCAAAUAAUUAACUAUGUUAUUAUUUUAAUAAUAUAGAAGUAUUAAUAUAAUAUAUAAUUAUGUAUAAUUAAUAUAAUAGAGAAAUUUAGUAAUUGGAUAAUACAGAAAGCCUAAGAGAGGCAAUGAGCUUCAAGUCCUGACUUUUUCUUAGUCUUCAUUGUCUGGGGUAAAUCUUAGCAUUGGGCCUAUGCAAUCAACCUCCAGUACCACCUGCCAUUCACCUGGAGGCAGCUGCUGGAGCUCUUCGAAUGCUGUCAGAGAAGGAAUUACAUACACUACAAGGAUUUUUUUGUAGAAAAAAAUAAAACUUAAUAAAUAUUAAAUUAUAUUAAUAUCACUUUCAUCCAUCUAUCCAUUCAUCCAUCCAUCCAUCCAUUCAUUCAGUAAAGUUGUAUUAGACAACCAGUCUGGGGCAGGCACUGUAUUGGUGCUAGGUAGAUACAUGAUUGUGAACAGCAAAUAUAUUAUUCCUUGGGUUAAUUAGGGUUCUCCAGAAAAAAAAACUAAAGGGAAAUAUAUAUCUCAAAAAGAGAUUUAUUACAAGUAAUUAGCUAAGUGUGCUGAGUGCUAUGAAGAAAAAAGUACAGGCUCCCAGGAGUGAUGAUAACACUGGAGGCAUAUAAACAUGAAACUUUAGUUGACUUGACUGAUGUGGGACAAGGGGAGUGCAUAGGGGAAUUCCUUCAGAUAGGACAGCACUCAGCAAAUGAAAUAUCCAAAAGGUCAGUGUGGCUGGAACACAGGAAAGAAGAGGGAUUAUGUUGCCAAUAUGAGCAGACAGAGGGAAGGUCACAGACAACUCUUAGGGUUGUCUAUGAGAAGGCUGAAAAGUUUGAGGCUGGUGAAGGAAGUAUGAAAUAGAAGUUGCCAGACUGAGAGAAUGACCUUAUUCAUUGACAAUGUAAUGGAAUAAUAUGGUUGUGUGGUCUGUUUAAGUUGAGCUAGAAUAAAUUCAUAAACAUUGUAAUCUCUCAGGUUGCAUGAUUUUUUUUUUUUCUGAGACGGAGUCUCGCUCUGUCACCCAGGCUGGAGUGCAGUGGUGUGAUCUCAGAUCACUGCAAGCUCUGCCUCCCGGGUUCAUGUCAUUCUCCUGCCUCAGCCUCCUGAGUAGCUGGGACUACAGGCACCCGCCAUCAUGCCCGGCUUAUUUUUGUAUUUUUAGUAGAGACGGGGUUUCACCAUGUUAGCCAGGAUGGUCUCGAUCUCCUGACCUCGUGAUCCGCCUGCCUCAGCCUCCCAAAGUGCUGGGAUUACAGGCGUGAGCCACCACGCUUGGCCAGGUUGCAUGAUUUUUAUAGCCUUUUGUUUGACAAUUUGAUGCAGACAUAUAAAUUAAUUUUAACAUUGAUUGUUGUGACUUUCCACUUUAUACUAUUUUGCAUGAAUAUUUCCACAUGUUUGUUUUU